rnacentral:rRNA from 1 species
GGGUUGUGAGGUUAAGCGACUAAGCGUACACGGUGGAUGCCCUGGCAGUCAGAGGCGAUGAAGGACGUGCUAAUCUGCGAUAAGCGUCGGUAAGGUGAUAUGAACCGUUAUAACCGGCGAUUUCCGAAUGGGGAAACCCAGUGUGAUUCGUCACACUAUCAUUAACUGAAUCCAUAGGUUAAUGAGGCGAACCGGGGGAACUGAAACAUCUAAGUACCCCGAGGAAAAGAAAUCAACCGAGAUUCCCCCAGUAGCGGCGAGCGAACGGGGAGGAGCCCAGAGCCUGAAUCAGUGUGUGUGUUAGUGGAAGCGUCUGGAAAGGCGCGCGAUACAGGGUGACAGCCCCGUACACAAAAAUGCACAUACUGUGAGCUCGAUGAGUAGGGCGGGACACGUGGUAUCCUGUCUGAAUAUGGGGGGACCAUCCUCCAAGGCUAAAUACUCCUGACUGACCGAUAGUGAACCAGUACCGUGAGGGAAAGGCGAAAAGAACCCCGGCGAGGGGAGUGAAAAAGAACCUGAAACCGUGUACGUACAAGCAGUGGGAGCCUCUUUAUGGGGUGACUGCGUACCUUUUGUAUAAUGGGUCAGCGACUUAUAUUCUGUAGCAAGGUUAACCGAAUAGGGGAGCCGAAGGGAAACCGAGUCUUAACUGGGCGUUAAGUUGCAGGGUAUAGACCCGAAACCCGGUGAUCUAGCCAUGGGCAGGUUGAAGGUUGGGUAACACUAACUGGAGGACCGAACCGACUAAUGUUGAAAAAUUAGCGGAUGACUUGUGGCUGGGGGUGAAAGGCCAAUCAAACCGGGAGAUAGCUGGUUCUCCCCGAAAGCUAUUUAGGUAGCGCCUCGUGAAUUCAUCUCCGGGGGUAGAGCACUGUUUCGGCAAGGGGGUCAUCCCGACUUACCAACCCGAUGCAAACUGCGAAUACCGGAGAAUGUUAUCACGGGAGACACACGGCGGGUGCUAACGUCCGUCGUGAAGAGGGAAACAACCCAGACCGCCAGCUAAGGUCCCAAAGUCAUGGUUAAGUGGGAAACGAUGUGGGAAGGCCCAGACAGCCAGGAUGUUGGCUUAGAAGCAGCCAUCAUUUAAAGAAAGCGUAAUAGCUCACUGGUCGAGUCGGCCUGCGCGGAAGAUGUAACGGGGCUAAACCAUGCACCGAAGCUGCGGCAGCGACACUAUGUGUUGUUGGGUAGGGGAGCGUUCUGUAAGCCUGUGAAGGUGUACUGUGAGGUAUGCUGGAGGUAUCAGAAGUGCGAAUGCUGACAUAAGUAACGAUAAAGCGGGUGAAAAGCCCGCUCGCCGGAAGACCAAGGGUUCCUGUCCAACGUUAAUCGGGGCAGGGUGAGUCGACCCCUAAGGCGAGGCCGAAAGGCGUAGUCGAUGGGAAACAGGUUAAUAUUCCUGUACUUGGUGUUACUGCGAAGGGGGGACGGAGAAGGCUAUGUUGGCCGGGCGACGGUUGUCCCGGUUUAAGCGUGUAGGCUGAUUUUCCAGGCAAAUCCGGAAAAUCAAGGCUGAGGCGUGAUGACGAGGCACUACGGUGCUGAAGCAACAAAUGCCCUGCUUCCAGGAAAAGCCUCUAAGCAUCAGGUAACAUCAAAUCGUACCCCAAACCGACACAGGUGGUCAGGUAGAGAAUACCAAGGCGCUUGAGAGAACUCGGGUGAAGGAACUAGGCAAAAUGGUGCCGUAACUUCGGGAGAAGGCACGCUGAUAUGUAGGUGAAGCGACUUGCUCGUGGAGCUGAAAUCAGUCGAAGAUACCAGCUGGCUGCAACUGUUUAUUAAAAACACAGCACUGUGCAAACACGAAAGUGGACGUAUACGGUGUGACGCCUGCCCGGUGCCGGAAGGUUAAUUGAUGGGGUUAGCGGUAACGCGAAGCUCUUGAUCGAAGCCCCGGUAAACGGCGGCCGUAACUAUAACGGUCCUAAGGUAGCGAAAUUCCUUGUCGGGUAAGUUCCGACCUGCACGAAUGGCGUAAUGAUGGCCAGGCUGUCUCCACCCGAGACUCAGUGAAAUUGAACUCGCUGUGAAGAUGCAGUGUACCCGCGGCAAGACGGAAAGACCCCGUGAACCUUUACUAUAGCUUGACACUGAACAUUGAGCCUUGAUGUGUAGGAUAGGUGGGAGGCUUUGAAGUGUGGACGCCAGUCUGCAUGGAGCCGACCUUGAAAUACCACCCUUUAAUGUUUGAUGUUCUAACGUUGGCCCCUGAUCGGGGUUGCGGACAGUGUCUGGUGGGUAGUUUGACUGGGGCGGUCUCCUCCUAAAGAGUAACGGAGGAGCACGAAGGUUGGCUAAUCCUGGUCGGACAUCAGGAGGUUAGUGCAAUGGCAUAAGCCAGCUUGACUGCGAGCGUGACGGCGCGAGCAGGUGCGAAAGCAGGUCAUAGUGAUCCGGUGGUUCUGAAUGGAAGGGCCAUCGCUCAACGGAUAAAAGGUACUCCGGGGAUAACAGGCUGAUACCGCCCAAGAGUUCAUAUCGACGGCGGUGUUUGGCACCUCGAUGUCGGCUCAUCACAUCCUGGGGCUGAAGUAGGUCCCAAGGGUAUGGCUGUUCGCCAUUUAAAGUGGUACGCGAGCUGGGUUUAGAACGUCGUGAGACAGUUCGGUCCCUAUCUGCCGUGGGCGCUGGAGAACUGAGGGGGGCUGCUCCUAGUACGAGAGGACCGGAGUGGACGCAUCACUGGUGUUCGGGUUGUCAUGCCAAUGGCACUGCCCGGUAGCUAAAUGCGGAAGAGAUAAGUGCUGAAAGCAUCUAAGCACGAAACUUGCCCCGAGAUGAGUUCUCCCUGACUCCCUGAGAGUCCUGAAGGAACGUUGAAGACGACGACGUUGAUAGGCCGGGUGUGUAAGCGCAGCGAUGCGUUGAGCUAACCGGUACUAAUGAACCGUGAGGCUUAACCUUACAACGCCGAAG